GUUUAAAAAUAAAUUAUUCAUUAGAAAAUUUAACACUAAAAUAGGACUUUUAUGGUCAUGUCUGAAUUCUAGCCUGAGAUGUCUAAUGGUCAACUGGAGAGGAGAUAAGACAGACUAGAGCUUGGAGCCUGGACACCCACAGAUGCAGGAUGUUCACCUGCAAUUUAUGCGCCAUACGACUAUGCCACUAAACUUGAUAAUCCUUUGGAAACGAAAUUAAAUCUAAUACAUCUACCUAAUGAACCAAAACUAAGAAAUUA
rnacentral:misc_RNA from 1 species